rnacentral:rRNA from 1 species
UACAGAGGUCUCAAGCGUUGUUCGGAUUCAUUGGGCGUAAAGGGUGCGUAGGUGGCGGGGUAAGUCGGAUGUGAAAUCCCGGGGCUCAACCUCGGAACUGCAUUCGAUACUGCCGUGCUUGAGGACUGGAGAGGAGACUGGAAUUUACGGUGUAGCGGUGAAAUGCGUAGAUAUCGUAAGGAAGACCAGUGGCGAAGGCGGGUCUCUGGACAGUUCCUGACGCUGAGGCACGAAGGCCAGGGGAGCAAACGGG